AAGUUGUUCUGCCUGGUGUUGAAGACUGAAGAGUUGAAGGUGUUAUAGUUGGAGUUUCAGUGGUUAUCGUGGGUUUUUCUGUGGAUGUUGUUGUGGUAGGUUUUUCUGUGACAGUUGUUGUGGUAGGUUCUUCUGUGACUGUUGUGGUAGUUUUUUCUGUCACUGUUGUUGUGGUAGGUUUUUCUGUCACUGUUGUUGUUGUGGUAGGUUUUUCUGUGGAUGUUG